rnacentral:rRNA from 1 species
UGCGCAGGCGGAACGGUAAGUCAGUGGUGAAAGCCUACAGCUCAACUGUAGAAUUGCCAUUGAUACUGUCGUUCUUGAGUAUAGUUGGAGUGUGCGGAAUGUAUCAUGUAGCGGUGAAAUGCAUAGAUAUGAUACAGAACACCAAUCGCGAAGGCAGCUCACUAAACUAUAACUGAAGCUCAGGCACGAAAGCGUGGGGAUCAAACAGGAUUAGAUACCCUGGUAGUCC